GAAAUGCGAUAAGUAAUGUGAAUUGCAGAAUUCAGUGAAUCAUCGAAUCUUUGAACGCACAUUGCGCCCCCUGGUAUUCCGGGGGGCAUGCCUGUCCGAGCGUCAUUACGCACCCUCAAGCCCGGCUUGUGUGAUGGGCCCUGGCGUCUCGUUCGCGAGACGGGCCCGAAAGGCAGCGGCGGCGUCGACCCGAUGAGCCCGAGCGUAUGGGGACUUUUGUCACACGUUUGCGGUGCGGACCGGCGCCUGCUUGACUUUUCUGAUUAUCCAGGUUGACCUCGGAUCAGGUAGGGAUACCCGCUGAACUUAAGC
rnacentral:misc_RNA from 1 species